UGAUGACCGUCUCCGGAAUCGCUGCGCUCCGUGAUGACACCGCGCUCGAACCCUUUCCGUCUGACGGCUGCGCGCGCGGC